rnacentral:rRNA from 1 species
GUCCGAAAACSGAUUGAAGCCCAGCUUGCUGGGCGGAUUAGUGGCGAACGGGUGAGUAAUACGUGAGUAACCUGCCUUUAACUCUGGGAUAAGCCUUGGAAACGGGGUCUAAUACCGGAUACGACCAACCCUCGCAUGAGGUGUUGGUGGAAAGGGAUUUUGUACUGGUUUUAGAUGGGCUCACGGCCUAUCAGCUUGUUGGUGAGGUAACGGCUCACCAAGGCGACGACGGGUAGCCGGCCUGAGAGGGUGACCGGCCACACUGGGACUGAGACACGGCCCAGACUCCUACGGGAGGCAGCAGUGGGGAAUAUUGCACAAUGGGCGCAAGCCUGAUGCAGCGACGCCGCGUGAGGGAUGACGGCCUUCGGGUUGUAAACCUCUUUCAGCAGGGGAGAAGCGAAAGUGACGGUACCUGCAGAAGAAGCGCCGGCUAACUACGUGCCAGCAGCCGCGGUAAUACGUAGGGCGCGAGCGUUGUCCGGAAUUAUUGGGCGUAAAGAGCUUGUAGGCGGUUUGUCGCGUCUGCUGUGAAAGCCCGGGGCUUAACCCCGGGUUUGCAGUGGGUACGGGCAGACUAGAGUGCAGUAGGGGAGACUGGAAUUCCUGGUGUAGCGGUGAAAUGCGCAGAUAUCAGGAGGAACACCAAUGGCGAAGGCAGGUCUCUGGGCUGUAACUGACGCUGAGAAGCGAAAGCAUGGGGAGCGAACAGGAUUAGAUACCCUGGUAGUCCAUGCCGUAACGUUGGGCACUAGGUGUGGGGAACAUUCCACGUUUUCCGCGCCGUAGCUAACGCAUUAAGUGCCCGSCUGGGGGAGUACGGCGCAAGGCUAAACUCAAAGAAAUUGRCGGGGGGCCSCACAAGCGCGAGCAWKGCGGAUWAUUCGAUGCACGCGGAGAACCUACCAGCCUUGGACAUAUACCUAGACCGCCCUUCAAAGAAUGAGGG